UAUUUGCACCCAACUUUAGGUUAUAGUGUGCCGGCCGCACACUGUAUUAAAAGGGAAUCAGGUGUAAUACCUGAGCUGUUCCCGCAACUGUAAGCUAUAUCCCUUUUGGGAGGCUGUUGUUAACUGCGAGCCACUGCCUGUAUGGGCGGGAAGGUAAACAACAGUACGCAAGCCAGGAGACCUGCCUUUAGUGUUAACAAUUA
rfam:Flavobacterium beibuense F44-8 contig25, whole genome shotgun sequence.